rnacentral:lncRNA from 1 species
CCGUAGUAGUGACGUCCCGCUGAGCUGGCGGCCGCCGCGCUCUGCUCCGGCGGCGAGCGGCGGCGCCAUUGCUCGUCGCCCUCCUCCGUCCAGCUCCCCCCCCCCACAGCUUACUUUUGCUCGACCAGCUUCGUGAUCCCGGGCGCAGAUGAUCCGCGCGGCCGGCCGCUGCAACCCCCAUCGGAUAAGAAGGCCGGCCGCGUCGACGACCCAACCGGAGACGACGGAAUGGCGCCAUCUGAUACAGCGGCUGCUUCCCAGGCGAGCGAGCUCCGAAUCUGGCCAUUUCAGCCUCAUCAGUCCCUCCCUCAUCCUUCUAGGUGAGCCUUCAGUACCCUCUCGUGUGCAUUGAGUAAAUUUCACAAUGGCAGAGUGUUUGGGGGGCAUUGGUUUCACAGAAUCCCCGAUUUUGGCGUAAUUAUUUUGUUUUUUUCUUAGAGAAAACAUGAAUUACUUGUCAUAUUUUACUUUUAAUGUUUAGUUGAAUAGGGCUGAUAAGCCAAUUUCGAGUUCGUGGUAGGCAUUGUGGAGCAUAAACAUGGGCGUACAUGCCUCCUUAACACCACAACUAGGUACAUGUUUUUUCCCCAUAUACGUUGCGUAAUCCUUCAAAUACAAUAAUAUAGUUAUAAGAGCUUCUCAUGUCUAGCUUUUGUUAGAUUAUCCCUUUUGGAUUAAAAAAAAUGCAUGGCCAUUUUCUGUAGUUAAAGGGAUAGAUCCAGAUAUGCAAUAAGAGCCAGAUUCGUUCAGUCCAACUAAUUUCAUUUAACAUAUAUAUAGUGUUUCCAUGUUCAAUGAGAAUGGUGUUGCGUGUAACUCUUUUCUGUUUCUAUCCCUGUUUCAUUUAUUUCCUGAGGAACUUCUUGAACCAAUGGGCCGAUUUCUUGGGGAACUCUUCAACCCAUCAUUGUAAUCCACGUAGUUUAUCCCGAACUGAAGCGUGUAGCCGUCUGCCCACUCGAAGUUGUCAAGCAGAGACCACGCAAAGUACCCCCUCACGUUGGCUCCAUCUCUGUAGGGGCAUAUGGAAUAGUGCACUGUUAAACUAGCAUCCUAAGUUGUCUACUGACAAGCUGAGUGUAUGAAUAGAUGUUCAGACCUCAUAGCACGUAGCAGUGACUGGAGAUGCUUGUGAUGGUAUUCUACCCUGGUGUCAUCGUUCAGGGAUUCCUUGAGUGGCAUGGUCUUAUUAUUGACUUCAUCGACGCCUUGAGAUGCACAAAGAAUCAGUAAGGUCAUUCACUCUUAGAAGAGGAGAAUUCCUUUUUCUUACAUAACUAGGAGGAAGGAGAAUAUUCAAGCCCUAUGUGCACUGUUGGCUAGAAUGGUAGAUUGAAAAAUAGAAAGAAUCAAUAGAUGUGAAGUAGAAUGGUUUGAACAGAUGCUGAGAAAUUGCAUGACCUAGAUGUAUUUGAACAUACCAUUUUCAGUAAUGUAGAUGGUAGGAUUUCCAUAGUUCUCCUUAAUAUAAAGCAACAGUUCACGGAACCCUUGAGGGUAGAUAUGAAGCCAAGAUGAAGCAGCCUACAAAUAUAGCGUUUAAUCAUGUCACCUGAUCAAUUGUUUUACUAAUACUUUGUUCUGUGGAUAACAAACAUGUAGAUCACCUGAGGACCGAUGGGAGUUCCGUUUCGACUACCUGGCAUAAUUGGGCAAAGUUAGCAUAUAGUAGCAUAAAAGCCCGCAAAAUGCAUUUAUCCAAACGAAAAAUCAAAUAUUCAUGAUGAGAUGAUGUGGAGCACCCCAUGUUUGAACAUGUAGGUAUAUAUAUAUUUUGUCUUCACGCACAAUAAAAGAGAGAUUGAAAAUGACUGGACUAAUCAUAGCCAUUAUAUUCUCUUUAAGCACUCAGGCAUGCAACUAAAGCAGGGGCACUCAUGGAACUUAAUCCACACUUUUUGAGCAUAGGGAAUUGACAAUGCUGCAAAGGCGAUGCUAUGAGCUGACCAAAUUCUGUCCUUUUUAGGAUAUAUAUGUUGUGUCGGGUACUUGCCAUAUAUUUGUUUUUCAUGGUUCAAAUGUACAAAGUACACUGAUCCAUGUAUAUGUUGACUCACCAGUAAUCCUAGCUUGGAAAUCAGUAUUGUAGCUGCUGUUAAGGCCAUAUGAUGGAGGAACAUCUUCGGCAUAACUUGAAGAGUAGUAGUUAAGUCCAAUGAAAUCGAAUGCACCCUUGACCAUUUCAGAUUGUUCCUUGGUGAACUCUGGCAAGCGAUUUCCAACCAAAUUUCUCAUGUUUAGGGGGUAAUCUCCUCUAAUGAGGGGAUCCAUAAGCCUAGAAGGGAUUUCAUAGUUAGAAUCCAGUCUCCUAAUGAUGAAAUUUAUGUGUAACAAAGAAUUUACCAUCCAAGCACAAAGUCUAGAACACGUUUUGCUGCGCUCUUGCUGGAUUUGGAUUGGGACAAUGGAACAUACCACUGAGAGUUCACAAUUAUUCCAAUCUUCCCCUUUUGUAAGGCCUGCAUUUAACAAGGAUCUUUAUUGUUCAUUGUGUGAUGUGUGAUGGUAUUAGUGCUGAACCAAAUCCUUUUGACUGCUACUAAGCAUUCAAUGUGCAUGCAUGCUCAGGGCUUUUGUUGUUCCCUAAAACAAUACCAACAACAAAUGCAUAUGUAUAACAAUCAUGUUCAAAUUAUAAGGCCUUGAACAUACAUUAUGUAGUACACUGCAGAAGCUCUGAAUAUAUCAAUAGACUAGAAUAUUCAUAUCAUCAUAUGUCUGUAUAUCGAAUAGGAAUCCAUUUCAUGAUAUGCAGGAUAUAAAAUAGCGCUGCAGUUAAUAACAUAAUUAGUUUGCCAAGUUACCUGCACAGGUAGCUAUCAUAAUGCUUACUUGCAAAUUUUAUUUUAUAUCUUGGUUGAUCUCAACUUCCUUGGACAUUUGUGUUCAUGUGUUGUUGGAUACCUAUAUGUGUUUGCAUUUGAAAAUAACUUAAUUGGCAAUUUUCACUUUUUUUAGAAUUUUAGUUUUCUUAUCGACUCUAAGGGUUUUUCAUUAAAUUUUAGUAUGUAAAUAACAAAAUAAUAUAUCUCUAACCUAACCAACAGAUCCAGACCGUAUUAGGGCGCGCCAAGAUUAAGGCAUAAUAUUUCGUUUUUAUACGAGAAUUUCCAGGAUUUCUUUUUUUUUUCCUCAACUUUUUAGGGCUUUGCAUAAUAAAUAAGUUAUUUCUGACCUAUUUUAACCUCUGUUACUAGGGCACAUUGAGAUCAAGGGCCUUUUUUUGGCUUUAGUUGUUAGAAUUCUAAGAUUUCUCUGUUUCCUUUGAAUCUUGUCCAAAAAUAUAAGCAUUUCUAGCACUAUUCAUAGUACUACUUGUCCCAUUAAUCACUUCAUAUUCAAGAUUCUUUCUAUUUUAUCCCCCACCUACUCUCUUACCCUUAUUCAUUCCUCAUUAUUAAGGAUACUCUAGUCUUUUUUUCUCAACCUUAAUCUCUGCUAAAUAAUCUAGAAAUGACUAUAUUUGGGAUGGAGGUAGUACAAGCUAAUGUCUGUACAAACAAACUGUACCAUCAGGGGCCAGCUGAAACAAAAUGCCAAGCAAUAAAUAAUUUUGGAUUAUUAAACUUAACUUCGUGGAUCUUCGUUUUAAAUUGUUAUCACGGAUGAACUGCGACUGCCUGAUAGCUUCAUCAGUGAACUGAUAUUUCUCUUUGUACAAACGAACAGUUUCUGCAUGGGCAAGUAGUUGAUGAUGACAUGCAAUAUAAGGCUCCCUUCUUGAAUCUCCAACACUGCAUUUUCCCAUCUCCCAGGGGGAACACCGUCCUGGUGCAUAGGUGCCAGAUGCAUAGCCCUUAGAGCAGAACAUCCAAGGUUCAUUGAAGGUGAUCCAAUAUUUCACCCGGUCACCAAACUCUCUGAAGCAGAUUUCAGCAUACUCCUUAUAAUCAUUUCUGCAAUAGUUCUUCCCUGUCAAUAACAUUAGCACUUUUUCAUGGAAAAUAACAUUAAGAUGUUCUAGCUGAAAAGGCUAUAGGAAGGUAGCACUAAUAUGGGUGGUGUCAAUGUAAACUGAUGUUAAAUCCUGUCCAAAGCAAAACCUGACCCAACAUCCCCUUUCACAGAUCACAAUAAACAAUAUUGACAAAGAAAAUGGGAAGGGGCCCCCAAAAUCUUUUGACGUUUAAUUAUUGGGUCUUUUGAUUAAUACUAGUAAACGUGCACGUGCAAUGCACGUUUUUUCCAUAUAUAUUUAAAUAAUGGUAAAAACAGAAGGAAAUACUACUUGCAAAAUACACAAGAUGCGUAAACAAUGAAUCCAGAAACAUUGGAGAAGCAUGUUUACCCACUGAAUUGAUGACGUUGACACUAUUUUUUAAAUGAGGUAUGUAGCAUAGUCCCUAGUAUUUAUGGAAAAAAUAUCAUGCUGUUACCAUUACACACAUGUAUCUUACUGACUUGUGAGUUCCCAAUUUAACAUUUUCAGAUUUAACUAGCGAUAUAUUUAAGCAGCAAAAGGUACUGAUAAAUUAUUGACUUACAUGAUAUUCAGGCUAAGAAAUCCUUUAUACUUAUCUUCAAGUGCCUGAGGUGCAUCAUAAUGGAAAAGGGUAACAAAUGGUUGAACCCCUGCAAAUGUAUAAGAUUAUUUUGCAUUUUGAAAAAGGAAAUCUGGCGUAGCAAGGGAUGGAGCUAAUGGUUGUCACAAGUGGCAUUAAGCCACUGAACUUGAAUCUAAAUAGUGAAGACUAGACAUGCAUACCUUUCAAUAAUAGCUCAUUGAUCAAUUUGUUGUAGUAGUUGAUGCCUUCUCUGUUGACUCCACCGCUCAGACUUCCAUCUGCCAUGACAAUUAGAUUUAACGCCUGGUGGGAUCACCUUGUAGAUUGAAAAAGAUAUGCAAAAUGUUGCACUUAGAACAGAAAAUAGAAUAUCUUCAGAUAAGUUCUUUUUUAUUAGGUGUAUGACAUUGCAUUAUAUAUAUUGGUUUUGAAAGAUAAGGAUACACACUUGGAAGAAUUCUUGACCAUGAGAUGGAGAACCUGUAUGCAUCCAUUCCCAUCUCUUUCAUCAUGCACACAUCUUCCUGCAGUUUUUUGGUGGUCAGGCCCUCAGAAUGCAAGUACUAAUUUAGCCCAUUUAGAAAAGCUUAUAAUUGAACUCUGAAGAGAUUGUGGCAAACACUGGCAGGCAGUAUGUUUAAUAGAGAAACUAACACAAACAUGCAGUUUAUAUUUAAGCUCCUUACAAAAAGUCCUCUAAAAACGGCAUGGACAACUACCCGGAAAUGCUAAUUGCUUAUACAGAGAUGGUAGGUGUCAUCAGCCACAUCCCCGUUGCUUUUGUCAGCAAUUUUAUCUGCCAAAUUAGGAAAUUGUCAAUCCAAAAUUAUGCCUCAUUGCCUAUUCUUUCUUGUCAUUUGCAGUUAAACAGUGCCUGGAUACUGAUGCGUGAAGGUGUCCCAGAUGCUCGGUCCUCUGCCCCCUUCCGCUGCGCCACCCUCAUACUGCAUCAUGCGUGAAGCAACGACCAAUUCUUCAGGUUACAGGCCCGAAACAGAUCACUUAGUGACGAGAAACGGUUAAUUCACUACUGAAUGCUUAUUGGAUUUGGAUUAGGCCUACAAUUCCUAGCUACACCGAAAUCCGAGAACCAUUUUAAGAGUAAUUUGAACAUUACUCAGUACCAUCAUUUGCCGGCUACCUACAUCUUUGAAGUACAGAAGCUGCACGGUUUAUCUUUUAAACAAUUUUACGGUCUUAAGAAGGUAUCAGGAGUUACCAAAUUUUCAGUGUAAAAUUUUGAUAUCUGUUGGUACCUAGAUAUCAGGAGGUAUUAAAUUUUACACUAAAAACCUCUCAGUACCUACUCAAGUACUGUAAAAUUGCUCUUAUCUUUUUCAUGUGUUACAUGCAUAGUCUGCUCCAACUUGUCUUUUGAAAAUAGCAGCCUGUUCCAACUGAUGUUCUUGCAAGAAUCUAGCUUAGGCGGCACUUCUAUGACUCUCAUCAAAGCGUUCUUGAUUUCUUGUAGGAAAAAUAAGGUGGAAGCCUGACCUGAUAGGACGAAGAGGAUGUCC